rnacentral:misc_RNA from 1 species
UCAAGAAGAAGGCGGCGGCACCGGGUGGGGUUGUGGUUGCCGUUUGCGGUCGGCGUAACCUCACAUGAGCGGUGGGGCAGGGCAGCCGAAGGAGCCGCGUUUCUUUUUUCCUUCUACUCGAAGAGCAUUGCCGCUCUCCGACUCACCACGUUCGAAAACAUAGACGUACUCAGCGACGUGCUGCCCCCACGGCAGUUAAGCAAGCAGCUUGUGCCACGCAGCCACUAGACACGAUGAUCUCCGAUGAAGGCUUCCUGUCUGCCCUGUCGCUCGGCGGAGGCGAACAGCGACCCUCUCCGUUCCCUUCUGCCAUUCCACUCAGUGGAACUCCGUCUCCCGUGCGCGACGCGUCGGCGCUGUUGUCGUACACGGAAGCGAUGACGCCGAACUUGUACAGCGCGCUAAGUGCCUCUGCCACAUAUCCGUCCGCGUACCUGUCAGACCCCUACAUCUCGAGUGCCGCGUCCGCAUCGCAUGCCGUACCCCCGCCACUGUCGUCCAACCCCUACACAUACGGCAGCUGGACGGCACCGGCGCCGCCUCUGCGCUCAGCAGUAGCAGCAGGGCCGUCGGCCGAGGCAGAAGCACGUGCAGCGCUUAGCGAGGCGGAGCGGCAGCGUCAAAUCCUGCAGCUGGAGCGAGAGCUUGCCGAGGAGCAGCGGCAGCGGUUGGAAGCCCGCUUGUCGCCGUUGUCCUCGUCUGCCGCACGGCUCUCUGUAUCGGUGCCGUGUGGUCGAACCCCUUCCUCGGAGGCUGCGGGCGACGCAUCACGUUACGGCGGGUCGGAGGCGUCUUCUUCACCGCCACCCGAAUGCGCCCACGAUGAGGUCGGCGAGGAGUUGCGAGCCUUUUCGAUGGAGGCACCAGCGCCUCCCAGCUCUCCGUCACCGCCAUCGGCACAUGUGCAGGCCCGCCUCUAUGUGCGGGGGGCAAAUGGCGGCGUGGACGCUUGUGGGCCUCCUGCCGCCGCCAGCAAGAGGCCGCAGGAGCAACCCGCCGAGCCCAGCGCGCCUCCAUCGCCCUUCUUGGCGACACCAGCGGCUGCCGCCAAUGGCUUAGCUAAAGGCUCAGCAGUGUCGCCUCAACCGCACCCAUCCAAGACCCCAAGCCCUCAGCGUUCGUCUCCGCAGCCGUGCACCCCCCCAAAGGAAGCAGCUCCGUCGCUCUCUACAAGCGAGCAGUGUGCUUCGGCGCCCAUAACGCGUGCUGGGGCCUCGUCGCCUUCUCCACAACGGGCGCUUGUGCGGUCAGAGGAGCGCCGUACUUCACAGCGACCCGCACCGUCGCCGCCGCCCUCUGAAGGGGACGGAUCACGAGCAUCACCGCGCAAGCCGAAUUCUGCACAGCGCGCGGUGACCGACAUGCACGAGGACGAGGAGCAGCGCCUGUACGAAGCCUACAAGCAGAAGCUAGCUCGCAUUCAAGAAGCGCUGCGCCCACCCAGCGGCACUGGUGUGCUAUGCGCAACAGCGUCCUUCGAAGCCUGCCGUGCGCAUCAGCGACGCUACCGUCUCACUACCCCGGCCCUCUGGUCAAGCACGCCGCCGGCACUACCGUCGUCGUCUCCUCCGUUGCGUACCACUGGCGAGCUUCCGCUAGUGCGGCGAGCGCCCUCUACAGGGUCGUAUGCCGACCCGGUCGCGCCCCUUUCGUGUGGGCGUCAGCGGCAACUUCGCUGGGAUAUCGCACACAGCGGAAACAUCGUCGUCUCGAGCGACGGAUAUGUCUGUAAAGCGGACGCCACGGACGCGCUGGCACUGAUCGAGCGGGAGUACGAGGGACGUCUUGAAGACGUGCUGCAGCGUCUGGUUAUCCCCUUCUACGCGAUGGGCAACCUCGGCCUGACGCGCGGCUCUCUGACCUUCGCGUUUCGCUGGGAAUCGCCGACGACGAUGCAUCGCGCCUCGGGGCGGCAGCGGCGCGGCCGUGGAGGCGGCGGUGGUAGGGUGCGCCGCGCACCCGCACUGGCGUUCGGAUUCGCCACCCGCGCCUUCACAGGUUACGGGACGGAGGCACCCGCGUUUCUGUACCUGUCGACCGGGGCAAUCGCGCAGGGGGUGAGCACUACCACCUCCGCUGGCGCAGAACGCCCCUACGGUGCCCCGUACGCGCCGGGAUCGGAGCUGGCUGCACGACUGGACCUGGAGCACGGGGAGCUGGAGUUUUACGUAGAGGGUGUCUCCAUGGGCGUCGCAUUUCGCUUCUGCCCCGCUCGUCACCCCGCACCACUCUUUCCAGUGGCCGUCUUCUCCGCCGAGAUGGAUUUGGCUGAGCUUCUGUACUCUGCCUGAGUGUGCGCGCGCAGUUGGAACUCCUCAACCCCGCUUUACCCUCCUCCCCAUCUUGAUCGUAGACGAUGGCGCGCACACAUACGCGUAGGAGGCGGAGGUGAGGUGGGCACGCUCAUGAGAUGUGAUGAUGGCUGACCUUGUGUAUGCGCGCUGGCGCUUUUGAUCACGCAAGGAAAGUCGCUUCGGUGCUGCUGUUUCGGCUAGAGUAGAUGCGCACACAAUGCUAGACGGAGGCGGCUCAUCUUCCCUCUCUUUCCUGAUUGCCUUUUAGACACAUGGCGCGCUUGUUCGUUUUUUUUUCAUUUUUUUUUGUUCUCGUUUCUGUCAACCGCUACCCGUCGACCUCUCUCUCUGUCGAGGGCGCCC